rnacentral:rRNA from 1 species
UUUUGGACAAUGGGGGCAACCCUGAUCCAGCAAUGCCGCGUGAGUGAAGAAGGCCUUCGGGUUGUAAAGCUCUUUUGUCAGGGAAGCAACACCGGCUCUAACACAGUCCGGGAAUGACGGUACCUGAAGAAUAAGCACCGGCUAACUACGUGCCAGCAGCCGCGGUAAUACGUAGGGUGCGAGCGUUAAUCGGAAUUACUGGGCGUAAAGCGUGCGCAGGCGGUUAUACAAGACAGGCGUGAAAUCCCCGGGCUUAACCUGGGAAUGGCGCCUGUGACUGUAUAGCUAGAGUGUGUCAGAGGGGGGUAGAAUUCCACGUGUAGCAGUGAAAUGCGUAGAUAUGUGGAGGAAUACCAAUGGCGAAGGCAGCCCCCUGGGAUAACACUGACGCUCAUGCACGAA